rnacentral:rRNA from 1 species
UGGGGAAUAUUGCACAAUGGGCGAAAGCCUGAUGCAGCAACGCCGCGUGAGCGAUGAAGGCCUUCGGGUCGUAAAGCUCUGUCCUCAAGGAAGAUAAUGACGGUACUUGAGGAGGAAGCCCCGGCUAACUACGUGCCAGCAGCCGCGGUAAUACGUAGGGGGAUAGCGUUAUCCGGAUUUACUGGGCGUACAGGGUGCGUAGGUGGUUGCUUAAGUAAGGAGGGAAAGGCUACGGCUCAACCGUAGUAAGCUCUUGAAACUGGGAAACUUGAGUGCAGGAGAGGAAAGUGGAAUUCCUAGUGUAGCGGUGAAAUGCGUAGAUAUUAGGAGGAACACCAGUAGCGAAGGCGGCUUUCUGGACUGUAACUGACACUGAGGCACGAAAGCGUGGGGAGCAAACA